rnacentral:rRNA from 1 species
UACGUAGGUGGCAAGCGUUAUCCGGAAUUAUUGGGCGUAAAGGGUGCGUAGGCGGUCUAAUAAGUCUGAAGUAAAAGCCAGUGGCUCAACCACUGUCCGCUUUGGAAACUGUUAGACUAGAGUGCAGAAGAGGCAAGUGGAAUUCCAUGUGUAGCGGUAAAAUGCGUAGAUAUAUGGAGGAACACCAGUGGCGAAGGCGGCUUGCUGGUCUGUAACUGACGCUGAGGCACGAAAGCGUGGGGAGCAAAUA